CGGCAUGGCGAUAGCUCAAGUGCGACUCGCGUAUGAAGCCCGGUUUGCUUGGCGGAUUAGUGGGGAACGGGUGAGUAAUGCGUGAGUAACCUGGCCUUGACUCUGGGAUAAGCCUGGGAAACUGGGUCUAAUACUGGAUACUACCGUCCAUCGCAUGGUGGGUGGUGGAAAGGGUUUUACUGGUUUUGGAUGGGCUCACGGCCUAUCAGCUUGUUGGUGGGGUAAUGGCUCACCAAGGCGACGACGGGUAGCCGGCCUGAGAGGGUGACCGGCCACACUGGGACUGAGACACGGCCCAGACUCCUACGGGAGGCAGCAGUGGGGAAUAUUGCACAAUGGGCGGAAGCCUGAUGCAGCGACGCCGCGUGAGGGAUGACGGCCUUCGGGUUGUAAACCUCUUUCAGUAGGGAAGAAGCGAGAGUGACGGUACCUGCAGAAGAAGCGCCGGCUAACUACGUGCCAGCAGCCGCGGUAAUACGUAGGGCGCAAGCGUUGUCCGGAAUUAUUGGGCGUAAAGAGCUCGUAGGCGGUUUGUCGCGUCUGCUGUGAAAGCCCGGGGCUCAACCCCGGGUCUGCAGUGGGUACGGGCAGACUAGAGUGCAGUAGGGGAGACUGGAAUUCCUGGUGUAGCGGUGAAAUGCGCAGAUAUCAGGAGGAACACCGAUGGCGAAGGCAGGUCUCUGGGCUGUUACUGACGCUGAGGAGCGAAAGCAUGGGGAGCGAACAGGAUUAGAUACCCUGGUAGUCCAUGCCGUAAACGUUGGGCACUAGGUGUGGGGGACAUUCCACGUUUUCCGCGCCGUAGCUAACGCAUUAAGUGCCCCGCCUGGGGAGUACGGCCGCAAGGCUAAAACUCAAAGGAAUUGACGGGGGCCCGCACAAGCGGCGGAGCAUGCGGAUUAAUUCGAUGCAACGCGAAGAACCUUACCAAGGCUUGACAUUCACCGGACCGCCUCAGAGAUGGGGUUUCCCUUCGGGGUCGGUGGACAGGUGGUGCAUGGUUGUCGUCAGCUCGUGUCGUGAGAUGUUGGGUUAAGUCCCGCAACGAGCGCAACCCUCGUUCUAUGUUGCCAGCACGUGAUGGUGGGGACUCAUAGGAGACUGCCGGGGUCAACUCGGAGGAAGGUGGGGAUGACGUCAAAUCAUCAUGCCCCUUAUGUCUUGGGCUUCACGCAUGCUACAAUGGCCGGUACAAAGGGUUGCGAUACUGUGAGGUGGAGCUAAUCCCAAAAAGCCGGUCUCAGUUCGGAUUGAGGUCUGCAACUCGACCUCAUGAAGUCGGAGUCGCUAGUAAUCGCAGAUCAGCAACGCUGCGGUGAAUACGUUCCCGGGCCUUGUACACACCGCCCGUCAAGUCACGAAAGUUGGUAACACCCGAAGCCGGUGGCCUAACCCCUUGUGGGAGGGAGCCGUCGAAGGUGGACCGGGGG
rnacentral:rRNA from 1 species